CAGUGCAGGAAAUGAGAACAAAACUUCAAGUGAACUAUUCCCAGCUAAAUAGAUCACUGCAUCUUGCGAGCAAAUAUAAUUAAUCUAGAUCAACUGAACUCCAGCUAAAGGUCAAACAGGCAAGGGCCCAAAUUGAUGAACCAAGUAGUUUAUGUGAAAAAAUAUAUUUUGUCUCAAGGUGUGCCCACAAAUCGUGGUGUAAAAUAUUAAUCACCUAUCUGCCGCUUUAGCUGGGUAUGAAUAGCACACAACUAAUGUAUUUGUUCAUGCCCUAGCAGUGCCAAAGAGGGAAACAAUCAUCAUCUUCUUUUUUGACGAGGACAGUGACACAAGGCACAUACAGGUAGCAGAGCUGGAGAAUAGCUAGAUCACCUUCCUUCUGUUAUCGUAGUGUAGGUCAGAAAUAUUAGAUAAUCUCUCCCCUUCCAAUAUAAAUCCAUCUACGAUAUAAUCCAGUAAACAGGUGUCCUCUGGCUUACUAUUGCUAUAAACUAAUGUGUGUCCCAUAUAUGCAUCAGCUUUGUUAAUGUUUUUACUUAUAUCAUCUGCUCA